rnacentral:rRNA from 1 species
AGCGAACGCUGGCGGAAUGCUUAACACAUGCAAGUCUCACGGGCAGCAAUGUCAGUGGCGGACGGGUGAGUAACGCGUAGGAAUGUGUCCUGUGGUGGGGGAUAACGUCGGGAAACUGGCGCUAAUACCGCAUAUGUCCUGAGGGGCAAAGCAGCAAUGCGCCAUUGGAGCAGCCUGCGUCCGAUUAGCUUGUUGGUGGGGUAAAGGCUUACCAAGGCGACGAUCGGUAGCUGGUCUGAGAGGAUGAUCAGCCACACUGGAACUGAGACACGGUCCAGACUCCCACGGGAGGCAGCAGUGGGGAAUAUUGGACAAUGGGCGAAAGCCUGAUCCAGCAAUUCCGCGUGGGUGAAGAAGGUCUUCGGAUUGUAAAGCCCUUUCGACGGGGACGAUGAUGACGGUACCCGUAGAAGAAGCCCCGGCUAACUUCGUGCCAGCCGCCGCGGUAAGAC